rnacentral:rRNA from 1 species
AUUGAACGCUGGCGGCAUGCCUAACACAUGCAAGUCGAACGGAGCGUCGGACGGGUAAGUACUGCCUCGGAAUCUUCCUGGUAGUAGGGGAUAACUUCCGGAAACGUGCGCUUUUACCACAUGCUAUCACAUGAGCCUAGGUCGGAUGAGCUGGUUGGUGAGGUAAAGGCCUACCAAGGUGACGAUCCGUAACUGGUCUGAGAGGAUGAUCAGUCACACUGGAACUGAGACACGGUCCAGACUCCUACGGGAGGCAGCAGUAGGGAAUAUUGGACAAUGGGCGAAAGUCUGACCCAGCCAUGCCGCGUGAGUGAAGAAGGGUUUCGGAUUGUAAAGCACUGUAAGUUGGGAGGCGUUACCAACAGAAUAAGCACCGGCUAACUACGUGCCAGCAGCCGCGGUAAUUC